rnacentral:rRNA from 1 species
GUACGGAAGGCAGCAAGCGGGAAUAUUGCACAACGGGCGAAAGCCAGGUGCAGCAAUGCCGUGUGAGGGAUGACGGCCUUCGGGUUGUAAACCUCUGUCAGCAGGGACGAUAAUGACGGUACCUGUUGAGGAAGCUCCGGCUAACUCCGUGCCAGCAGCCGCGGUAAGACGGAGGGAGCAAGCGUUGUCCGGAUUUACUGGGCGUAAAGCGCGCGUAGGCGGCCUAUUAAGUCGGUUGUGAAAGCGCUGGGCUUAACUCAGCAAUGGCAGUCGAUACUGAUGGGCUCGAGUUCGGGAGAGGAAAGCGGAAUUCCUGGUGUAGCGGUGGAAUGCGUAGAUAUCAGGAAGAACACCGGUGGCGAAGGCAGCUUUCUGGACCGAUACUGACGCUGAGGCGCGAAAGCUAGGGGAGCGAACGGGAUUAGAUACCCUUGUAC